GGUAACAUUUCUAGCUUGCUAGAAGAUGACGAGUGGCGGACGGGUGAGUAAUACUUAGGAAUAUGCCUUUGUGUGGGGGAUAACUAUUGGAAACGAUAGCUAAUACCGCAUAACGUCUUCGGACCAAAGGGGGCUCCGGCUCCCGCGCAAAGAGUAGCCUAAGCGAGAUUAGCUUGUUGGUGAGGUAAAGGCUCACCAAGGCGACGAUCUCUAGCUGUUCUGAGAGGAAGAUCAGCCACACUGGGACUGAGACACGGCCCAGACUCCUACGGGAGGCAGCAGUGGGGAAUAUUGCACAAUGGGGGCAACCCUGAUGCAGCCAUGCCGCGUGUGUGAAGAAGGCCUUCGGGUUGUAAAGCACUUUCAGUUGUGAGGAAAGGUUGGUGGUUAAUACCCAUCAGCUGUGACGUUAGCAACAGAAGAAGCACCGGCUAACUCCGUGCCAGCAGCCGCGGUAAUACGGAGGGUGCGAGCGUUAAUCGGAAUUACUGGGCGUAAAGCGCACGCAGGCGGUUAUAUAAGCUAGAUGUGAAAGCCCCGGGCUCAACCUGGGAAUAGCAUUUAGAACUGUAUGACUAGAGUCUUGGAGAGGGGGGUGGAAUUCCAGGUGUAGCGGUG
rnacentral:rRNA from 1 species